AUGACCGUGACGCUCGAGGAUGUCUCCUUGAUCACUGGUCUUGCUAUCGAUGGGAGGCCUCUCUGUAUGAGCACCGAUUCUGAUGGGUGGCGCCAGCAGAUGAUUGCUCUUAUUGGUAUGGCUCCUACCGAGGCUGAGGCUGAUGUAGAGGAGGGAGAAAAGAAGAAGAAGAAGAAGGAAAGGAAAGCAACCGGAGCUGCUUUCACGUGGAUUCAAAGGAACUUUGCGCAUUGCCCUGCGGAUGCCAAUGAUGAUGUGAUCCAGACACAUGCUCAUGUCUAUAUGUGCUGGAUGAUGUGUGUAGCAGGAUCACAGAUAGGGCAGGCAUUGGUGGUAAUAUGCUUCUACUUUCUAUAUGGAGCUGGGAGCGUCUGCCUGUUGGACACCCGAAGAGCGCGAAGUUUAAUCCUUGGGAUGAAGACGACGAAUUACGGCGCCCCACUUGGGCUUACAAGUGGGAUGUGGUGGCGGAGAUGA
rnacentral:rRNA from 1 species